ensembl:lncRNA
CAGGUCACGACUGAAUUCCCUUUUAUUUAAAGAUUUGUCAUGUACAACAAUCUAUUUACAGUCUGCCAUAUUUACACAAAUCAACAGGUGGCGCUGUGACGUACAAAUUCUCUCAGAGCCAAAAUCAAAUAAAAAUCAAAUAAAAAUCAAAUGAAAUCAGCAUAAAUUAAACUGUUCGUCCGUUUCCAGGUCAGCAGCACGACUUCCACCGGCCUUCACAAUAAGAGCGCUCAAAACGGCAUUUCACAAUAAGAGCUGCUGUUAAAGUCAACUCUGGGCUGUUUACACUGAGAGACCAGGACUAAACCGGGACUGAACCGGGACUGAACCGGGACUGAACCAUCCACAGAACAUCAUUUUUCAAAUUUAAACAUUUUUCUGUCAAAUUAAAAACAUUGUCUUGUUUCUGGAUAUUUUUUUGUCACAUCUCGAGUGUAAACGUCCCAGAGCCGUUUGAGUCUCACACAAACCUCUGAAACUGAAGCGGAGUUUACUCCACUCUGUACGACUGUAUGUGUGUGUACUUACACACACACACAUAUAUACAGUCUGUACUAUAGACUGUAUAUAUGUGUAUGUAUAUAUACACACAUAUAUACAGUCUGGUCUGUACACGCAUUUAUUAUCAUCACUAUUCACAACAACAUACUGCACCAGAGCACCCAACGAGCAGGGCUAUGGUCCACUAGUCCAGACGCGGUCCAAACCCGGUCCAGACCCCGGUCCCGACUCCAGUCCAGAUCCCGGUCCACACCUCGGUCCAGACCUGGUUUAGAUUGAAAAAGAUUUUGCUAGUGAAAAUACAUCACAUUUGGCACUGUCAUUCUUUAUGUGGUGAAACAGUUAAAGCAGUUAAACCAGGACUAAACCAGAUCCAAACCAGGUCUAACUCAGGUCUUAAUGAGGUCCAAACAGGUCCAUGGCACAUUCACAUAUCAAAUGGGUCUAAACCAAGACUAAACUCGGACUAAACCAGAAUGUAACAAGGUCCAAUGCAAGACUAAUGUAGGACUAAACCAGGACCAGACCAGGACCAGACCAGGACCGGACCAGGACUAAACCAGGACCAGACCAGGACUAAACCAGGAUUAAACCAGGACCAGGACUGGUGGACCUUUCAAAUUCACACAUACAGAAUUCAAACUUCUCGAAGUUCAGUGGCAUUUUUCAUUUCUUUUGUUCAACAUUUCAUCAUUAUACCUUGAUAAACACAAACCUGUGCAGUAACUGGAAGUACCAGUUUGAAGUACCAGUUUGACGUGCUAGUUUAAAGUACCAGUAUGAAAUACUAGUUUGAAGUACCAGUUUAAAGUACUGGUAAAAAGUACUAUUCUAAAACCAUUCUCUCAGAUAUGCUCCAGUUAGCAGGUUUGACACAGCAGUACGAUUCUCCAGCAAAACCCAGAAGAAACGAUUGAUUUUGAAAUAAAAACAAAGCGCUAAAAAGAAGGAGGUGACAGGGCAUCCGGGUUAAUUCACAAAUCUCUCCUGGAGGUUUUAGAAAAGUGAAAUAAAAUGAGAAAUAGCAAGUUUACACAGGUAUUUUGGACCACAGGGGCUUCAGGACGGUCUGUAGAUGUCAGGACUAAACCGGGUGUGAGCGCAGAUAAGUAAAACUCAAACUGUAUUUCUGAAGAACCUGAAACAGAUUAAUACAAAUAAAAUAUAAAUAAAUUAUAUAAAACUUUGAUCAUUUGAAAAUAAAAAAAAUAAUAAUAAUAAUGGGGGGUCGCGUACCACAGUUUGAGAACCACAUUUACCAAACAAUAUGCCAUUCAUGUAAAAAAUGAUAAAACCAGGUCUAAUCCAGAUCUAAAUCAGGUUUAAAAAAAGGUCUAAAUCAGGUCUAAUCCAGGUCCAAAUCAGGUCUAAAUCAGGUCUAAAUCAGGUUUAAAUCAGGGCUAAUACAGAUCUAAAUCAGGUCUAAUCCAGGUCUAAAUCAGGUCUAAUCCAGGUCCAAAUCAGGUUUAAAUCAGGGCUAAUACAGAUCUAAAUCAGGUCUAAUCCAGGUCUAAAUCAAGGCUAAUCCAGAUCUAUAUCAGUUUUAAAACAGGGCUAAAUCAAGUCUAAAUCAGGUCUAAUCCAGAUCUAAAUCAAGUUUAAAUCAGGGCUAAUCCAGAUCUCAAUCAAGUUUUAAAAAAGGUCUAAAUCAGGUCUAAUCCAGGUCCAAAUCAGGUUUACAUCAGGGCUAAUACAGAUCUAAAUCAGGUUUAAAUCAGGUCUAAAUCAGGUUUAAAACAGGGCUAAUACAGAUCUAAAUCAGGUUUAAAUCAGGUCUAAAUCAGGUUUAAAACAGGGCUAAAUCAGGGCUAAACAAGGAUCAGACCAAGACUAAAUCUGUACUAAACCUAGAUUAAAAAAGGUACUAAACCUGGACUAGUCAAUAGUUUGAAUAAUGACCUUUUCUUUG